CCAAUGGCACUGCCCGGUAGCUAAAUGCGGAAGAGAUAAGUGCUGAAAGCAUCUAAGCACGAAACUUGCCCCGAGAUGAGUUCUCCCUGAGACUUUAGGUCUCCUGAAGGAACGUUGAAGACGACGACGUUGAUAGGCCGGGUGUGUAAGCGCAGCGAUGCGUUGAGCUAACCGGUACUAAUGAACCGUGAGGCUUAACCUUACAACGCCGAAG
rnacentral:rRNA from 2 species